rnacentral:rRNA from 1 species
UACAGAGGAUGCAAGCGUUAUCCGGAAUGAUUGGGCGUAAAGCGUCUGUAGGUGGCUUUUUAAGUCCGCCGUGAAAUCCCAGGGCUCAACUCUGGACAGGCGGUGGAAACUACCAAGCUGGAGUACGGUAGGGGCAGAGGGAAUUUCCGGUGGAGCGGUGAAAUGCGUAGAGAUCGGAAAGAACACCAACGGCGAAAGCGCUCUGCUGGGCCGACACUAACAUUGAGAGACGAAAGCUAGGGGAGCGAAUGGG